CGAGCCCUCCCCGAGGGACCCCGGUGGAGGACCCGCGGCUCUCACACCGCACGGCCCGGGAGGAGCGGGGCCGUCCCCGGGCAGAGCAGCGCCUCCCGUCAGUCCGCUCCUCCGCUCCGUCCCUGUUUUUAUGUCCGCUUUCCCGCUGCUGCGCCGCUUUAUGUUGUCAUCUUCCGACCUAUUUAUUUCCCCGCAGGACAGAAACACGGCCCAGGCAGGAUUCAAUUGAUUUGCUAAUAAGAAGCAAAGCAACACAUCCGAACGGCCAGGACUUUUCAGAAGCGGGGUUCAUUUGCAGUCUCUGAUAGAAGAACGGAAGCAGAAACGGAUCGAACGGUGCACCGAAGUCACCCGUGGGUCACCUAAACAGCCCUGCUCCGUCUGUGUGCGUGCUGUCUGUUGGAGCGCUGUAACAAAGAGUCGCUGCAUUGCACCGAAUGUAUUUGCUGCGUGCAAAGCUUUAGGGUCUUAAAAACACCCAUAGCAUGGAUUCAUUUGGUGUUAGCAGGUACAGCGUCACAGGUUUCCUCUGCCAGCCUCCAACAAAAUAAUAUUACCUACUUGUAUUUUUCUCCUUUUUUUCCCUUUCUUUUUCUCUUUCUCUCUCUCUCCCUUCCUUUCCCUUCCCUUCCCUUCCCUUCCCUUCCCUUCCCUUCCCUUCCCUUCCCUUCCCUUCCCUUCCCUUCCCUUCCCUUCCCUUCCCUUCCCUUCCCUUCCCUUCCCUUCCCUUCCCUUCCCUUCCCUUCCCUUCCCUUCCCUUCCCUUCCCUUCCCUUCCCUUCCCUUCCUUCAUUUUCCUUUCCCUCCCUUGUUUCUUAUUAUUUGUUUGUUUUAAACAGUUGAGCUCACUGUACACAGAAUCAGUGGAGUGGCGUUUAAAUGUAUUCUGUUGCUUCUGGUCCACCACACCAAGCCAAUGCCUUCCAUGGUGCAGAACUGCUCAUGUUUACAUGGUGAUUACGGACCUUUGUCCAUCUUUAUGGACGCAAAUCCAUGGGUGUACUUAUCUGGAGCGAAGGGUUGGACUCGAUGAUCCCUGUGGGUCCCUUCCAGCUCAGGAUGUCAGCACUCAUUUCAUAUUCGUUUUUCCUCUCUCUUUGUUAUACAUCAGCAUCAAUAUUUGAGAGCGUUUGUGGCUCAAACAUUACCCAUUUUUACGAAAUGCCAAUCACUCAAAACCUUUUGAGCUUAAGAUCAGGGAUUCCCUCAUUUCACAUCCUUUUUGCCCUGUAGGAUCCUAAACCACGGAGUGCAUGGAGGCAGUGCCUGGGUCACGCAGUCCCAGCGACGACCGCUCUGCUGCGAGUGCUGUUUCCACUGGCAGUGAUGUUGUAUGCACAGGGACUGCACAUCUCAUUCAAACACAGCUUUUGCAUUAA
ensembl:lncRNA